rnacentral:lncRNA from 1 species
AUUUAACCUUUUAUUUUUAGUAAAAGUGCGCUGUUGCUAGUUUUAUUAUUAAUGCAAGUUUAUUAAGGUUCCUGGAUAUGUACAUCUGUUGAAGCAUAACAUGUAGAAACAUUUAUAUUAAACUUAGACAAGCUUAAGCUGAUUUGGUGGUUGAAUUAACUUGUACUAGCAGUGAGAAUGGGGAAGGUAUGAAGAAUGAGCAAGUGGAUGAUGAAUUGAUGGAUUCAGUGGAUGAUGAAUUGAUGGAUUCAGUGGAUGAUGAAUUGAUGGAUUCAAAGGAUGAUGAAUUGAUGGAUUCAAAGGAUGAAGUGAGUGUAAGUACUUUUUCUAACAACAAAGUAACCAGACG